rnacentral:lncRNA from 1 species
UGGGCCUGCUGUUUGGCUGGGCUGACUCUGACAUCAUAGCCUGUCUUCUGAAAGCAGUCCGGGACCUUUUAUAAAGUCAAACAGAUAAAGCAAAUUCUAGAGAUGUGCUAGGGACCGGAAAAAAAAAAAAGUACGUUGUUUUCUUUCAGUUGUGGUCACCAGCGGAUAAACUGUGUCUCUAGAUCCCUUGCUUCAUAUUUCCCAAAAGUAAGUUCGUCUUGUUUUUGAUUUUUUUGUU